rnacentral:rRNA from 1 species
UACGGAGGGUGCGAGCGUUGUCCGGAAUCACUGGGCGUAAGGCGGCGUAGGCGGCCUCGAUAAGUAGGGGGUGAAAUCCUGCGGCUUAACCGCAGGGCUGCCUUCUAAACUGUCGGGCUAGAGCACGGUAGAGGCAGAUGGAAUUCCCGGUGUAGCGGUGGAAUGCGUAGAGAUCGGGAAGAACAUCAGUGGCGAAGGCGGUCUGCUGGGCCGUUGCUGACGCUGAGGCGCGACAGCGUGGGGGAGCAAACAGG